UACGGGGGGGGCAAGCGUUGUUCGGAAUUACUGGGCGUAAAGGGCGCGUAGGCGGCUUUUCAAGUCGGGCGUGAAAUCUCCGGGCUUAACCCGGAAGGGUCGUUCGAUACUGAUGAGCUAGAGUGUGGAAGAGGCAACUAGAAUUCCGUGUGUAGCGGUGAAAUGCGUAGAUAUACGGAGGAAUACCUGAGGCGAAGGCGGGUUGCUGGGCCAACACUGACGCUGAGGCGCGAAAGCCAGGGGAGCAAACGGG
rnacentral:rRNA from 1 species